ACACCGUUGGUGAAGUGGUUAUCAUGCUUGCCUUCCAUAUUUGUCUAUCAGUAAUAGCAAGCGGCUCGGGUUCGAUUCCCGAACGGUGUA